rnacentral:rRNA from 1 species
GACGAACGCUGGCGGCGUGCUUAACACAUGCAAGUCGAACGGAAAGGCCCUGCUUUUGUGGGGUGCUCGAGUGGCGAACGGGUGAGUAACACGUGAGUAACCUGCCCUUGACUUUGGGAUAACUUCAGGAAACUGGGGCUAAUACCGGAUAGGAGCUCCUGCUGCAUGGUGGGGGUUGGAAAGUUUCGGCGGUUGGGGAUGGACUCGCGGCUUAUCAGCUUGUUGGUGGGGUAGUGGCUUACCAAGGCUUUGACGGGUAGCCGGCCUGAGAGGGUGACCGGCCACAUUGGGACUGAGAGACGGCCCAGACUCGUACGGGAGGCAGCAGUGGGGAAUAUUGCAAAAUGGGCGGAAGCCUGAUGCAGCAACGCCGCGGGCGGGAUGACGGCCUGCGGGUUGUAAACCGCUUUCGCCUGUGACGAAGCGGGAGUGACGGUAAUGGGUAAAGAAGCACCGGCUAACUACGUG